ACACUUGUCAUCUUUAUAUCUCCACCUGUGCACCUUUUGUAGAUCUGGAUAUCUUUCUGAAUGCCUGGCAUUCGGGUUUGAGGAUUGACUUCUGUCUUUUCCUUACAUUUCCAGGCCUAUGUUUUCUUCACAUACACCAUUUAUGUUAUAGAAUGUAAUGAAAGGGCCUUUGUGCCUACAAACCUUAUACAACUUUCAGCAACGGAUCUCUUGGCUCUCGCAUCGAUGAAGAACGCAGCGAAAUGCGAUAAGUAAUGUGAAUUGCAGAAUUCAGUGAAUCAUCGAAUCUUUGAACGCACCUUGCGCUCCUUGGUAUUCCGAGGAGCAUGCCUGUUUGAGUGUCAUUAAUAUAUCAACCUCCUCAAGUUUUGACUUGUCGAGUGUUUGGAUGUGGGGGUCUUUUGCUGGUCUCUUUUGAGGUCGGCUCCCCUAAAAUGCAUUAGCGGAACAAUUUGUUGACCCGUUCAUUGGUGUGAUAACUAUCUACGCUUUUGACGUGAAACAGGUUCAGCUUCUAACAGUCCAUUGACUUGGACAAUUUCUCAUUAAUGUGACCUCAAAUCAGGUAGGACUACCCGCUGAACUUAAGCAUAUCAAUAAG
rnacentral:rRNA from 1 species